AGCAGCCGCGGUAAUUCCAGCUCCAAUAGCGUAUAUUAAAGUUGUUGCAGUUAAAAAGCUCGUAGUUGAAUUUCGGGACCAAUAUGUCGGUCGUGCCUCGGUACGUACUGGCAUCGUUGGUUUCUCCCUUCUGACGAACCAUGAUGUCAUUUAUUUGGUGUCGUGGGGAAUCAGGACUGUUACUUUGAAAAAAUUAGAGUGUUUAAAGCAGGCUCACGCUUGAAUACAUUAGCAUGGAAUAAUGAAAUAGGACGUUUGAUUCUAUUUUGUUGGUUUCUAGGAUCGACGUAAUGAUUAAUAGGGAUAGUUGGGGGCAUUAGUAUUCAAUUGUCAGAGGUGAAAUUCUUGGAUUUAUUGAAGACUAACUACUGCGAAAGCAUUUGCCAAGGAUGUUUUCAUUAAUCAGGAACGAAAGUUAGGGGAUCGAAGACGAUCAGAUACCGUCGUAGUCUUAACCAUAAACUAUGCCGACUAGGGAUCGGACGAUGUUAUUUUUUGACUCG
rnacentral:rRNA from 1 species